CGCUGGCGGCAUGCUUUACACAUGCAAGUCGAACGGUAACAGGGGAGCUUGCUCCCGCUGACGAGUGGCGAACGGGUGAGUAAUGCAUCGGAACGUGCCGAAUAGUGGGGGAUAACGCACCGAAAGGUGUGCUAAUACCGCAUACGCCCUGAGGGGGAAAGUGGGGGACCGCAAGGCCUCACGCUAAUCGAGCGGCCGAUGUCGGAUUAGCUAGUUGGUGGGGUAAAGGCUCACCAAGGCGACGAUCCGUAGCGGGUCUGAGAGGAUGAUCCGCCACACUGGGACUGAGACACGGCCCAGACUCCUACGGGAGGCAGCAGUGGGGAAUUUUGGACAAUGGGGGAAACCCUGAUCCAGCCAUGCCGCGUGUCUGAAGAAGGCCUUCGGGUUGUAAAGGACUUUUGUCCGGGAGGAA
rnacentral:rRNA from 1 species